rnacentral:rRNA from 1 species
UCAAAUUUGAAAUCUGGCCCCAGGCCCGAGUUGUAAUUUGCAGAGGAUGCUUUUGGCGCGGUGCCUUCCGAGUUCCCUGGAACGGGACGCCACAGAGGGUGAGAGCCCCGUCUGGUCGGACACCAAGCCUUUGUAAAGCUCCUUCGACGAGUCGAGUAGUUUGGGAAUGCUGCUCAAAAUGGGAGGUAUAUGUCUUCUAAAGCUAAAUACCGGCCAGAGACCGAUAGCGCACAAGUAGAGUGAUCGAAAGAUGAAAAGCACUUUGAAAAGAGAGUUAAAUAGCACGUGAAAUUGUUGAAAGGGAAGCGUUCAUGACCAGACUUGGCCCGGUUGAUCAUCCAGCGUUCUCGCUGGUGCACUCUGCCGGUCCAGGCCAGCAUCAGUUCGUCGCGGGGGACAAAGGCUCCGGGAAUGUAGCUCCCUCCGGGGAGUGUUAUAGCCCGCUGCGCAAUACC